CUCGAUCCUCAUUCUCUCUUUCCUUUCUCCCAAUUUUAGUAACUAAAUUUUAAAGGCCUUGUGCAACAAAACAAAAUAAAUUCCACUCUCUCCAAUGACUUCUCGAGUAAAAGUCUCCGACGAGCCACUGAGUCCCUCCGGCCGGCUAUUUCUCCGGCCAGAGAUGGACACCAUAAUCCACUGUGCACUCGGCGUUGAAUACGCCAUGGACGUGGAAGCUGUAAAAACCACCAUAAGGAACUCUCUCAUGUUGAAGCACCCAAGAUUUUGCAGUCUCCUUGUACACGACAAGAAUGGAUUGGAACACUGGAGAAGAACAGAGGUCGACCUCGACAAACACAUCUUAGUUGUUGAAAACCCCGCCGAAGCCACCAACAACGACGGCAGUGAUAUUGAGAAAAUAGUGAACGAUUAUAUAGCAGGCUUAUCAGUAAGCUGCCCACUUAGCUUGGACAAGCCUUUGUGGGAAGUUCACAUAAUGUGGGAGCCACCGUGCGCUGUUUUCAGGUUUCAUCACGCACUUGGGGAUGGGAUCGACCUGAUGUCAAUUUUGCUCGGAAGUUGCAGAAAGGUGGAGGAUCCAGAGGCUGUGCCCAUCUUGGAUAUUGGAGGUAGCCGCAAGAAUCGGAAGGGAAGUUUUAGGAAAUUGUGGUUUCAGAGAGGGGUUUUGAUGGGGUUCUUGAAGAUGGUUUUGUAUACUUUGAAUAUUUUGAUGGGGUUCUUGAAGGUAGUUUUGUAUAGUUUGUUUUUCUAUUUGGAGAUGGUGUUGAGGAGUUUGUGGGUUAGAGACCGGAAGACGGUUAUCUCCGGCGGUGAAGGGGUGGAGCUGUGGCCUAGGGAAGUUGUUACUGCCCAUUUAUUGAUUGAGGACAUGAAAGUGGUAAAAAAGGCUAUUGCUAAUGCGACCAUUAAUGAUGUUCUUUUGGGGAUGAUAUCAGCUGGAUUUUCAAAGUACUUGGAUCAUCGAUCGCCAAAUUCUUUGAAGAAGAAUCAGCGAAUCACAGGAGUAGCCACGGUUAAUUUAAGAAAGCAACUAGGAUUGGAGGAUCUGACCAAGAUGAUCGAAAGCAAUUCAAGGGCUCGUAAGGGUAACAAAUUUGGGAUUAUUCUCUUACCUAUUUAUUAUGCGAAAGAUGUUGAACCUUUACAGCAUGUGAAGAGAGCUAAGGCAACACUUGACUUGAAGAAGAAGUCCUUGGAGGGUUAUUUCUCAUAUAAAGUUGCAGAUUUAGCAAUCACCUUGCUGGGAUGUAAGUUUGUUUCCUCUUUCAAUUACAGGAUUCAUAGUAAUUGUAGCUAUGUCAUCUCCAAUGUGGUUGGACCAAAAGAGAAGCUCACUAUAGCAGGCAAUCCUAUAAAGUAUGUAAGGGUUAACGUCACUGGCUUACCCCAAGCAGUGUCAAUGCACAUGGUGAGUUAUGCAGGGCAAGCUGAUAUGCAAAUUGUAGUGGCCAAAGACAUCAUGCCUGACCCUAAAUUUUUUGCUAAAUGCAUUGAAGAUUCCCUGCUUGAAAUGAAGGAAGCUGCUCUUGCUGCCGUCAAACUAGGAGGAUAAAUGGUCAUUACAAAGAAUCAAUAAGGAAAAAAAUUGUUGCCAUUAUCUGCAAGUUAAAUUACCUUUGAAGGAAUUUGGGCACCCAUGUGGUCAACCCUUUUGCAUACAUUGACUUUGGUCAAAAUAAUAAGAAGGUAAUUAACUUUAAUAAAGGUUCCUUUUGCGUAUUCGUUGUGUGUACAAGUGUGUGUUUCUUGCUUGCCCUUAGUCUUUGAAUACAUCUCUCAUUCAACAAAUUGGUGGAGCGCUCAUUGUUUUUGCAAACAAGGCAUACAUUUAGACUCUGAAAUUUUUGACAAAGUUCAUGAUUUCAUGAGAUUGUAUUAGAGAUGAAUGGUAUAAAUCGGUGAUCCUAGAGUUUAUAUAUGUUUAUGGUUUAGAAACUAUGAGUUUUAAUUUUUCUUCAAUCUUAUUGUUUGUCAUGAAAAUAAUUUAGCUAGUUAACAGCUAGGAAACUACGAGUGUGCUAGAUUUUAUAUAUAUAUCAAUCAAGAAAAUAUACUUUCUAAUAACUUCUAAAUCAGAUAAAAUGAGAAAUGAGUACACUGAAUGUAGUUUUGCCGUAAAUGCUCUAUUUAAAUCAAAAUAAAUAUUAACUGAAAUUAAAGAAAUUGUACAUGGAAUAAAAUUGAAAUUUGAUUACUGAAAAGAAAAAUUUUGAGGAAUCUAGUGAAACCACAUUUAAUGUGGAUCAAUUGGGUCAUUUG
rnacentral:misc_RNA from 1 species